rnacentral:rRNA from 1 species
AACGCGAAGAACCUUACCUAGACUUGACAUCCCUGGCAAAGAUAUGGAAACAUAUUGGAGGUUAACCGGGAGACAGGUGGUGCAUGGUUGUCGUCAGCUCGUGUCGUGAGAUGUUCGGUUAAGUCCGCUAACGAGCGCAACCCUUGUCCUUAGUUGCUAACAUUAAGUUGAGAACCCUAAGGAGACUGCCGAUAAUAAAUCGGAGGAAGGUGGGGAUGACGUCAAAUCAUCAUGCCCCUUACGUCUAGGGCUACAGGCGUGCUAUAAUGGCCAUUAUAAAGAGAAGCAAAACUGUGAGGUGGAGCAAAACUCCAAAGAUGGUCUCAGUUCGGAUUGAAGUCUGCAACUCGACUUCAUGAAGCUAGAAUCGCUAGUAAUCCUGAAUCAGAAUGUCGGGGUGAAUACGUUCCCGGGUCUUGUACACACGC